rnacentral:rRNA from 1 species
CCCGAAAGGUCGAAGGCGGAGAUUCAACUGUCUUAUCGUUUGUGUCGGCGUCGUCGGGGCGCGAAUGCUAAACUGAGACGAUGGCGCGUGCGUUUUUUCGGAAGCGCGUUGCGCUUCGCUCGGCCUCGACGCACGAGACCUGACCGCGAAGGCAUGCACUUCUCCGUCUGUAGGACGUCGCGACCCGUUGGGCGUCGGUCUAAGGCCCGCCGUUUCGACUGUUCUCGCGUUUCGGCGCGAGCGACAGAGCGGCGGUGAUACUUUCCCGGCCGUGCGCCCGACGGUAUAAUCGAACGGACGGCGUUGGGUCGCGUCGACGAGACGCGUUCGAUCGUCCGCAAGUGCGUGCGCGUUAGUCGACUUCCAGUCGCCGACGGUCGGACCUGGUCCGGCCUCGGACGCGCAUCACUGUUGGCGUUGUACGAAUCUCGAACAGGCCCGAGCCGCGCGCUUGCGCGCGGCACGCCGUGUCGGCGACGCUAUAGCUUUGGGUACUUUCAGGACCCGUCUUGAAACACGGACCAAGGAGUCUAGCAUGUGCGCGAGUCACUGAGAUCUAUAUUAAACUCAAAGGCGUAAUGAAAGUGAAGGCACGUCGUUUUUACGCGACGGUAGCCGAGGGAGGAUCGGUCGCGCCGUUAGAACGCGGCCGCGCACUCCCGGGGCGUCUCGUUCUCAUUGCGAGUUGAGGCGCACCCAGAGCGUACACGCUGGGACCCGAAAGAUGGUGAACUAUGCCUGGUCAGGACGAAGUCAGGGGAAACCCUGAUGGAGGUCCGUAGCGAUUCUGACGUGCAAAUCGAUCGUCGGAACUGGGUAUAGGGGCGAAAGACUAAUCGAACCAUCUAGUAGCUGGUUCCCUCCGAAGUUUCCCUCAGGAUAGCUGGCGCUCGCGUUCGCACGGCGCGCGUUCACGCGCGCGUCGUUCGCGUUCACGAGUCUCAUCUGGUAAAGCGAAUGAUUAGAGGCCUUGGGGCCGAAACGACCUCAACCUAUUCUCAAACUUUAAAUGGGUGAGAUCUCCGGCUUGCUCGAAUCGAUGAAGCCGCGAGAUAAUUAUGGAUCGAGAGUGCCAAGUGGGCCACUUUU